UCUUGCCAGCGGCGAAGGCUUCGCAGAGAUGCACCUGGAGCCCUGAGUGAAAAGUAAACCGCAUUCUGAAAGGCAGUGGACUUAGACUGAAAACUGCAACUCAGUCGAAUGCAAACAGAGCGAAACUGGUCCUGACUGGGCCGGUGGCCGGGGAUAUUGCUACAUGAAAGCUUCCCUGUCAGUAUCAAUCAUCAUUGCCUGGGCUGCAACAUUCCAGAGAAUGAAUUGGCCUCAUUUGGCUGCUCCACAGGAGGCCUGUGGGCUCUCCCCCACCUCCCUGCCGAAUGGGGCCCAGUGCCUAGAAGUCUGUGAACCCAAACUCCUCGGGUACCCUCCUGGAGGAGGGCAGAUAACAAGAAAUGCAAACGUCAAACCUUUUCCUCAAGUUAGCAAAUGCUGGGAGCCCACAGAAAGGACAAGGAGGAGCCUCUUCCUGGGAUUUCACAUCUGAAGUCUACAGACUCAAACCUUUUCCUGGUUCUUAUUUUUUUAAAUGCCAAGACUUCCAGGCUGCCUUCUCCACUCACCCACCCCCUCAACCCACCCCCCUGCCCUUUCCACCACCAACCUGCUCUAGCUCCUUCUGAGCACCUCUCUUCACUUCUAGUCCCUCCCUCUGGGAGAAAAAAAAAAAAUGACUUCUGCAAAAAAGAAUUUCCUGAAACUCCCAUCAAGUCAAGAGCUCAGAGCGUGCACCCUAGGGAAUCCAGGCGUCCAGGCCACUGCUCACUGGGAGAGGUGCCCAACCUGACAGUCCUGGGAGGCUGGAGCCCCCAGCUGGACUCUGUUCACCUAUUCUGGGGCCUGUGACCCCAGGGAAGCGGCCAGGCUCCUGCUUAGUGCAUCCAUAAGAUGGAUGGUGGUAAUAACUGCUCUGCCUCCCUCUUAGGAUUGUGUAUGGAUUAAUGAAAGAAGAGAUUAAGAAGUGAUUUGUAAAGCGCUCAGUGUAAGGCAUUAUGAUUAUUAAAUUAUCUCAUUGGGCCCAGUAUUGGGCAUGUUAGUGAUCUUUGUAAAAGCCUCACUCUGCAUCUACCUGCCUCUGUCCAGGAGAGUCCUGGUAAAAUGUGCCCUGGGAGGGAGAGAGAUUAAAAUGCCAUGCCAAUAUAUACAAAGAAAAACCCAGACAAAAAGCAAGAUCAUUAUUAUUUUUGAAAAUAAAAACAGUGUGAUAACCUUUCAGUAUCUCAAAUUACAUAUGCCCACAAUGUGACACUACCUCUUGUGGGUGUUAUCCUAAGCCAAUAGUCCAUGUUCUGGGGGUUCCUUAACAUAGCAACAGACAAACCUUGGCCUGAAAAGCAGAAGACUCUGUGUAAUAUUGAGCAAGUUGUUUCUCCUCUCCAGGCCUCAGUUUCCCCACCUCUAAAAUAUGUAAGUAGCACCGGGCUUCUUUAAGAUCUUAUCCCACUCUUCUGUCUUGUAAUUCCUUGGAUGCCUCCAGUAGGCAUCCUAACUUAGCAACAGUUGGGGCUCCAAGGUCAUUUCAUACUUGAUAGAAUAUCAAAGAGUUUAACUAAUCCUCAUCCUGGGAUAAAGGACUAAGUGAGCAAACAAUACAAAAUCAUGCCAGCCACUUAGGGACUCUUAAUUCUACUUAAUCAUAAUGAGAAUUUUUCAACAUUUGGAGACUGCUCUGGGGAAAAGCAUGACAUAAUGCCUCCAACACUUAGAGCUGUGCCAUUGGCACGGAAUCUCCAUCACAAUUAGCAGUUUUCUUACCCCAAAUGCUUUAAUACAAAGUGCCUGCUUCACUUAGUAACUCCACUCAACAAGCUGACACCUGAAAACCACAGCCUAGGUGUUGCCAAGGUUCCUAAAGAACACGAGUCCUCACCGUUUCAUCUCCCCAAAUCUGAAUGAACUCUCAUCUAGUUUCAGACUCAGGGUUUUUAUUGCCCAGCUGCACACGUCUGCCUAGAGAGACACUUUCCCGUCCUUUACAGCUGCUUGCUGUCAGCCGGCUUGUCUGUCCUCAGUGGGAACUUUCAGGUUCAAGUCUCUGUCUGGGGAGUCCAUAUACAGCCUUGGCUAUUAUUCUGAUGGAUCGUUUUAAUUCUUUCCACUUUGAUCAUGUCAGUUUCCACAACAAACAAGGCUCACCAGCAGCAUUCCUGGUCUCACAAAGGCAAACACACUUGGCUUUGCAUCAUAAGCCAGAGGCCAGAACUCUUCUGCUUUUGCUUCAAGGCUAUUUUAACCCUUGGUUGCACAAGUUUUCCAGUUAACCCUUUUUACCUUUCAUUCCCUGCAACCAUUGACGUGUUCAUCUCCUCCGGAGAAAUGCAACGAUUUCCAGUCUUUAAUUAAUUAAGGAUCCAAGUGGCAGAUGCAGUUCACACACACUGGAGCCAAGCCCUGGCUAAGAAGAUUCUUUUGCUCCAAAUGCUCUGCAGUUCACUGAGAGUAACUUCGGCUAAUAAAAAUAGCUUUGUCGACUAAGUUGCCAGGAGCCAUUUUAAAUCAUUGAAAAUAUUAUCUCAUUUAAUAUUGGCAAAGUAUUAAGGUGAAAUAGGAAUUAUGUUGACUUCCUAAGUAAAGAAACAUAGGAGUUAGAAGCUAAGCUUUCUGUC